AUUUGUGGAUUAAAAGUCCAAACGGGGAAAAAAGCUAAUUAAGACUGAACAUUACAAUCUGCCGGGAGACGUCAGAGCAUGGAGGUUUAGAGUUGAGUACUGACCUAGAAAGUGUGUCACUGAAAACCUCCUAAUAAACAUCAGGGGAGUAGCAAUCAAAGAUGGGUAAACUCUGUGUCAGAAUAAGAGCCACGUGGGGGUCUAGCAUCCCAAAAAGACAGCUGAGCUGCCCAAGAAGCAAGAAAAAUUUAUUCUGAAACCACAGCCAGGCCCCAAAGUCCCGAGCAAGUGGUGAAAACCAUCAUGAACCACUGGUUGUGAAACACCGCCCUGCAUUAAUUCUUGAGGCAGUGUUUAAUAUUGGAUGAGAUGGAUUCACACGUGCUCAGGUCAAGAAAUGAUAGCAGUAGAGCCUCAGACAUAAAGCCCCCUCAUUUUCCUCAUCGUACGGGUAUCUCUUCAUCUUUUAAUCUGCUGUGUUUUCUAAUUUCCCUCAGGUUCAGCCGGUCGUUUGGUAGGAACUGGUACAAAAUAGGGCAACGAGUGCUGUGCUCUGAUGUAAAUGAUGUGUUAAGAAAUAUAUAUCAAAUUUUGUACCUAGACACAGCACACAAGAAAACAUUGAACAAAAUAGAAAGAGAAAAUAGAAAAAAACACAGCCCUGUAUCGCAUCUUCAACAGCAUCAACAGCAGCAGCAUCAUCAUCAUCCUCAGCGACGAGGACUAGAUGCUGUUAACAUUGCAAUGGAAUAGAAGCCUUUAAUGUCACUGAACACAAUACAAAAACAAAACAACUUUAGCACAGAAACAUUUAAGGACAACAACACAGGCUCUGUUAUAGUAAUUAAAACAGGUAAAUACAAUGUCAUUUAGCAAUAGAAUAAGAGCAUUUAUUUGACUAGAAUGAAGGCAAUUAUCGCAACAGAAGAAAUUUAUUUAUUUCAGUAGUAUGAAUUUAAUAAUUUCACGAGUAGUAUGUCAUUUUUUGCAGUAGAAUACAUUUAAUGAUGGCAAAAGAGCCUAUAGGUUUGCCCUCAAAAGGAUUCUUCAAAAGAAGUCUUCUUUAAUACAGCAAGAUGUUCAUUUUACUAUUUAGAGCCACAAAGUGGAGCAUGCUAAAGGGCGGGCUCACACGCCUUGUUUUUUAACCUUCUUUUUGGAAAGGGCUGCCACUGUUGAAAAUCAGCAUCGCUGCCGGUAUGAAUAGUUUUAAUGCAAAAUAUUUGCAUUUGGGUAUCAUCUCACGAGUCACGGAGUGCAUCUCUGCAGGGGGUGCAAAGCUGCUCUUUAGUGCACAUGUCAUCACUGCUGCUCCCCUCAGCUUUAUGGAGCGUCUUAGCGUCUUCCAGCUGAGUGUUUUUAGUUUCAUGGUUUGUAACUUUACUAUUACCAUCAAUCUCAGUUUUAGUAACCGCAGAAUGCAGCUGUUUUUAGAGGAAAAAAAUGCUAUGACAAAGACACUUUUUGUGAGCUGCUCCACAUGUAUUCAGGCAUUUGGAAGCUAAGGAGCAAUAUAUUUCCCUGCACGGUUUGGUGAAGCAAAAAAGCAGAGCGAACAUUGUUACAUUUGUCCGAUGGGCAGAAACGUGACUCUAAAUGAAUGCUAAUGGAUUUCUGUACCUGAUUUGUAAAUAGAUAAAGUGAUUGUUAACACGCAGGCUUCAUGCUACUCCCGAAGUGGCCGUGGACAUUAAUUAAUCAUGCUUUAAGUCUGAGAUGGAAAUGUUGACCUUUAGCUGUCUUGCUGUAAUAAGUCAGAUUGCAAUGAUAUAGUGGUUGAGAAUGUGUAGCACGAUUUGAGCUUAUCAACUGAACUUCCCAAGGUCAAAUUUGGCCAUUAACUACUGUCACCACAACAGUCCAUGUUGGUUCAAAUUGGGCUGGUUGUGUCUAAGUUGACAUGUCCGACUGUUCCUCACAUCCACCUCAUCCGGGUUUAUUUUCCUGCUCAUACUCAUUGUGUUCAGACGUUUGUUUGGCUAAGACUCUCCAGCAGUCUACCUUUAGCUGAGGCAUCACCACCACCUCCCCCCGCUUCCACCCAUCAAUGCCCCUUCAAGGGCCUGUCCAGCCGCUGUCAGCCGAUUGUCAUGCUGCUCGCUUCCUAUAAACCAAUCUGUCAUGCAUUGUUAAUGUUUAAAGGAUAUUGUUGUGUCUGCUGUUUGGAGCGGCUGCAUCACAGGGAACUGAGUGAUGUGAUUUGACGACAGGAUUAUGGAUGCAUCGGUUUCGGCGGCAUUAGAUUUAUUUUGGGUGGGGGUUGGGAGUUAUCUUUCUGUACACACGCUUGAUUUGAUUCUAAUUGUUGAAGAAAUGAAAGUAUACGGCACUGUAAGUGGAAAUCACAUUAAGCCUCUUAGCAGGAUGUGCCGCAUGCUGAAGUGCUCUGGUGAUGACAUUCAUAACUCGAUACAGUUCCAAACGCACAAAACUGUUCACUGAUGCAACUUUUAUUGACGUUGAUCUCUGACACCAAUGAGUUAUUUGAUUUACAAAGACUUGAAAUAGUUUUUCAUCACAAGGAUCAAAAAUACAUAAGUGAACACUAACGGCAAUGGUACAGGACGAUAAGGGGCCUCUCGAUCACAGUAAGCCUAAAGCCUAAUCUGAUUUAUUGUCUAUUUCACUUUAAAUGGCACCAUCAUUUACUUGGUACACAUCAUGCUGUAUUGAAGAAGACUUAAACGCAGCCACUGACACUUGUUUCCAACGUUUCAGAACUGGCUGCCAUUGGCAUGAGCAACAAUAAAUCCUUACACGACAGCCUGUUAUAACUGAUCUUACAAAUUGGUCUGUGCCCAUUUUAACAAACACAUUAUUCUAUAUGAUACUGGUUAGGUCCUACACUACGUUGUUGUAUUAUAGGGCCUAACAACACCCCCGAACUGUUACAUUAUUGGGCAAUAAAGUACAGCCUCUCGUACCUUAUUGCUUAAUUAUUCAUCUCCAAGGUGGACUUAGUGUAGGAAAAGUUAAGUUCUUAGUCAUUGUUAAGGAAAUCACAAUUUAGUUGGAAACAAGGGAAAAAUAGAAAAAGAAUCUGGAAGAUGCCCCAGUGUUCUGAAUUUACAACCUAAAAUACCAGAUGUUGCACUGGUUCCAGCAGGAGCGUUUCUGAGUAACACAUAACGCGUCAUAGAGCCGCUGCAACCGCAAACAAACCCGCUCAGCCGGCAGAACGAGGCUGUUCGUGUUAUCCACAACACGCGUUCUAAGAUCUUCAUUUGGAACGCUUGCCAACUGCGCCGAAUGCAAUUAAUUUCUCCCGCAUCUCGCCGGUGUCGCGCGUCCAAUCGAUUCCCGCGGCCGGAGCCGGUGGUCGGAGGCGCGUCCUCUGCGGACCGCCGCCUGUUGAGGAACUGACGCUAAGAUCUCGACCGAGGCACGAUUUGCCGGUGGGGGGGUUGCACCUCCUUCGUGCUCUCCCUCCCUCUCUGUUGAAGAUCCUAUACUGAUGGUGCUGCAAUAUGUCGCAUGGCCGCGGUCAGCAGCUGCGGGCGGAGGCGCCGUGUCGCCCCGUGCUUAUUCAAUCAGCGGGAUGCGCGGAUGCGUACGCGCGUUUUCCUCGCGGCAGCGCGCUCUCGACGCGGAACAAAGCAAAGGCUUGCGUGUGUUGCUCAUGAGGAAAGGACAACCCCCCCCCUUUGAUGCCUCGCGGUGCAUUUGCCUAAUGCCAUUCUAUGUAGGAAUUAAAACACACUCUUUGCAUGUUUUAUCUGGACAUCUAUUCAAUCCAAAAAGCUUUGAUAUUCAUGAGGACGCCCUCAUCUAUAUUCAUGCUCCUAAAACUUUGCGUUUCCUUUCUUUUGCUGCAUUGUCCGCCUGUUUUUUAGAGAGCAAAAUGAACAUUUCUUUGCAGUUUUUUUCACCCUUUCACUACAUGUCUUCUGCAACAGAAGUUAAAGUGCCUGGCAAUUGUUUUCAGCACCAACAGGAUUGAAGUGAGAAUCCAUUGGGCUUGUUUGGCUGUCCGCUGGGCUGGGUGAGGGAUCUGCCCCUAGACAUUUGCACUACAGCAUCCUGCUGACUUGCUUUGCUUGCUCACACUGCCAUAGAAACCGGGCUCCUGAGUGCAGUGGAGGUUCAUUCUGUUCAGGAGCAAGCAAGGAAGAGGAUCGGAAGGACAGAGUGAGGGGGGGAGAAAAAAAAAAGAUAGAUACACAGAAAGGAAAAGAAAAAACAAAGGGAGGGAAGAGUGUGAGAGAGAGGGAGAGAGAGGGAUCAACAAAGAAAAGUGAGAGAUACUGUCACUGUCUGACCGGCUGUAUCAUACUCGUCUCCAUCACACUCGUCUCCAUCAUUUAUGAAGCACCAUGUUCAUUUUUAAUAAGAUUGCAUGUCUGCAGCCGCACUUUCCGUCCGUAUCUUACACACCUCUGCUGCCUGAACGAGGGCGAAAAUUGGCGAGACGUUAACUUGUCCUUUCCACAGCUUUUGUUCCAAUGCGUUAGUUCUAAAGUACACCUGCAUGGUGGAGGCGAAGAGACCUCACAACGUGAAGCCGGGUCACUGCUUCGUGCAUUCUUUCUAUUUGUGUCUCUCUUCUGUUCCAACAUGCUUAUGUCACUUUUUUUGCCCCCCACCCUCCUCCUCCUCUUCCUCCUCCUCGCUUUUGCCGGGUUUGAUCAACGUGCAUCAUGACACUUUGAUGGAGCGCCAGAGCUGAGGGGCUAAUGGAAGCAGAGAUACAGCAGGAUGCCCUGCGCUUCCUUUCAGCCUGGGUGCGGGGAAAUUGCAUUAUUCUGAAGUGUUCCAGAUGUGUUCAAAAGCAAAUAUUCUCGCCUUGAAUCGAUCGAGGAGUAUGGUUGAAAAUCUUUUCUCAAAAAAAAAAAAAAAAA